GCGCACGGGUGAGUAACACGUGAAUGAUCUACCUCCGAGUGGGGAAUAACUGAGAGAAAUCUUAGCUAAUACCGCAUAAUACCCACGGGUCAAAGCAGCAAUGCGCUUGGAGAGGAGUUCGCGGCCGAUUAGCUAGUUGGCGGGGUAAUGGCCCACCAAGGCGAUGAUCGGUAUCCGGCCUGAGAGGGCGCACGGACACACUGGAACUGAAACACGGUCCAGACUCCUACGGGAGGCAGCAGUGGGGAAUUUUGCGCAAUGGGGGAAACCCUGACGCAGCAACGCCGCGUGGAGGAUGAAAUCCCUUGGGAUGUAAACUCCUUUCGAUAGGGAAGAUAAUGACGGUACCUAUAGAAGAAGCCCCGGCUAACUUCGUGCCAGCAGCCGCGGUAAUACGAGGGGGGCAAGCGUUGUUCGGAAUUAUUGGGCGUAAAGGGUGCGUAGGCGGUUUGACAAGUCUGAUGUGAAAUCUAUGGGCUCAACCCAUAGUCUGCAUCGGAAACUGUCGGGCUUGAGUAUGGGAGAGGUGAGUGGAAUUUCCGGUGUAGCGGUGAAAU
rnacentral:rRNA from 1 species